AUAUUGCACAAUGGGGGCAACCCUGAUGCAGCAACGCCGCGUGUAUGAAGAAUCGGUUUAUCCGUGUAAAGUACUGUUGAUUGGGAAGAACGGCAGGGUUAGCAGCCCUGUUUGACGGUACCAGUUAAGAAAGCUCCGGCUAACUCCGUGCCAGCAGCCGCGGUAAUACGGAGGGCGCAAGCGUUACUCGGAAUCACUGGGCGUAAAGAGCGUGUAGGCGGAUUAAAAAGUCAGAAGUGAAAUCCUAUAGCUUAACUAUAGAACUGCUUCUGAAACUAUUAAUCUAGAAUAUGGGAGAGGUAGAUGGAAUUUCUGGUGUAGGGGUAAAAUCCGUAGAGAUCAGAAGGAAUACCGAUUGCGAAGGCGAUCUACUAGAACAUUAUUGACGCUGAGACGCGAAAGCGUGGGGAGCAAACAGGAUUAGAUACCCGUGUAGUC
rnacentral:rRNA from 1 species